GAAAUGCGAUAAGUAAUGUGAAUUGCAGAAUUCAGUGAAUCAUCGAAUCUUUGAACGCACAUUGCGCCCCUUGGUAUUCCGAGGGGCAUUCCUGUUCGAGCGUCAUUACACCCCCCUCAAGCCUGGCUUGACGUUGGGCCGCCGCCUCCCCGGAGGCGCGCCCGAAUGGCAGUGGCGGCCCCGCCCGGCGGCAAGCGUAGUAGAUCAUCACACCCGCUUGCACCGCCCCGCCGAGGCCCGCCAGACAGCCCCCCCGACGUUCCGUCCGGUUGACCUCGGAUCAGGUAGGGAUACCCGCUGAACUUAA
rnacentral:misc_RNA from 1 species